rnacentral:lncRNA from 1 species
CCUGAAUUAUUAACAGCUUUAUACCCAUCUAUUUGAUUAACUGAACUUAAAUACACUUCUGAUCUUGCCACAUGGGUGAAAAACACCAAGAAUUUAGGGGUGUUUCAACACUUUUCUCGGCUUUUUAUUAAGAGUCUCACGCUCGUACAAGAGUUUGAGACCACUUGCUAUACUAUGUGACAGAUCGGGGUGUAUUUAAUUUGAGUUAGCCAAAUAGAUGGAUUCUUUUAAGACUGUCAAUAAUUCAAAAAUGAAACUAGUAAUUCACGUCAAAUAGUUCAGGCGUGUUUCCAAUACUUCUUGUUUAUAAGUAUCAAAGUUCAAGGCCACUCCCUUGAAGCUUCAACUUGGUAAUCUUGUCAAGUUGCUCUUCCAUUUCAGGUGUCAUGUGAUUCUUUCAAUCUCCAACAACUCCAUUUCUGAAAAAUGCAUUAUUGUGGGCAUAAGAGAAGAUUGAUCCACUCCUAUUAACCUCCAAGUUCUUAAGCCUCUCCAAGCUACACUUGUUCAAAACUAUCUCCAAAUCCUCUUCAUUACCAAAAGGCUUUCCAAGAAACAAAGGCUAUUUUUGCCACCUCUUUUUUAGGGUUUAUCUUCAAGUCUUCAUACUUCAAGAAUAAUAUUUUUUGAGGCUUUUUUUACUUUCUUCCCAAUAUUCAAGAACAUGUUCAAGAAAUGGUCCAUACGGAUGAACCCCUUUGCAAAAGUACUCCACAACUCUUCUAAAGGAGAAAGAUCUUCUUAACGCUUACAAUUAUAGUUGAAGAAAUGCCACAUAGAAAUUAUGGUAUCUUUAGGAUUUCUUGUUAUGUAUAUAAUCUUGCAAUUAUCCGAAUUUUUGGUUGAGUCUGGCAAAACUCUAUAGGUAAAUGAGUGUGAAAUAAUCUUGGAGAGGGCAUGGUGUCUAGAUCAUGAGUUGGAGUUCUUAAAUAAUAAUCCAUGGCCUCUAUUGUUAGAACAUGAAAAUGAGGAUUAUCCUUAACUAAAAGGUCUUCUUCUUCCUCUUUAUUACCUUGCAUGAUGGAUACACAUAUGGCCUUGAGCCAUGUUGAACCUGUAAGACAAACAUCGGACAUUAGAAUGAAAAUAUAUAGUUUUCGUUGAUCAUUGAUGUGUAAAAAGUUACAAGUUGGGAUUGACGAAAAUAUAUAGUUGAUGAAAGGUUGACCUAAGAUCUAUAUACGAGUAUAAGGCACUCUAAUUUUUAAAUGUAUACACGCAACAACAAAAUUGUUAGGAAUGACCACAUUUUAAGAGUGUGUAGGUUAGGUUUUGAUGAUAAAAAAAAAUGACUUCGGUAACGAGAAUUGAAAAAUAAGUUCCAUAAUGGGAAUCCCACGCCAAUCGUCUCCUCCUUAUACUCUCCAAUGUAUAUACAUAUCUAUCUAUCUAUAUUACCUUAAAAGCAUGAACUCCUAAUUUAAAUGUUAAAUUACUAUAAUAUCCCUAACUUAGGUUGUGACUUUUUCGAUGAGUUGUGACUUUUACGAUAAGUUGUGACUUUUUUUUUGAAGGGUUGUGGUUUUUCGAUGAGUUGUGACUUUUCCAAAGAGUUGUGUACUUUUCAUUAAGUUGUGACUUUUCCAAAGAGUUGCUAACUUUUUCAAUAAGUUGUGACUUUUCCAAAGGGUUGUGACUUCUCGAAAAGGUCAUGACUUUUCAGAUAAGACACAAAAAAUAUUUGUUCAUACUACCCUUUGUUGACUAUAAAUAGAGGGGUUUCCUCUUAGUUUUCAACCACAAUUUGUUUUAACUUUUACUCUUCUUCUUCUUGCAUUUUAAUUUUUUUUGUGUCAUUUAUUAUCGUUGAGUUAGUUCGAAGUUUAGCGGAAUAUGAGAUACCACUAUUCUGAUGAAGUAAGUUGUUCUAUCCUAAGAGGGUAUAUUCCAUAACCUCGAGUACUUGAGGAAAAUAAUUUUGAUGAUAUAAUAAUUAUUUUUUUGCUUAAUAUAUACAUCAGUAUGUAACGUUCCAAAUUUUGUAGUCUAAAUUCAUUUGUUUAUGUUAACAUUUUCUCUUGUGACAGAGAUAUAUGCCUCUGAAUAUUUUUUCCAAAAUUUAGAGAAUUGUCAUGAUUUGUUUUUUAUGCUCAAGACAAAUGAAUGACUUUAUUUAUCAAUACUAUUUAUGUGAUUUAGACUCUCGGGAAUUUUUCUUCAAAAUAGUUAUAUAAAUAUUGCCUUUUUGUUUUACUUAUAUACUAUUUCUUAAUAUUUUAGUAUUUUAGACGAAGAAAAGUUCAUAUGACUUGUAAUAACGCAUGUUGAAGUUUGUAUUAGUAAUUUUUAUUACCCUUUAUUUAAUAGUUAAUUUUAUGAGAUAAAUAUUUUCAUUAAUGCAAAUAUAUAUUUAUAUUUGGGUAGGUAUUUGUAUUUAAAUUAAAGUAUUAUAUAUGUCACAAAUGUAUUAUCAAGUUAACAAGAUUUUCUAACUUCAAAGUAUAUUAUAUAAAAUGUAUUUGUUCUCUUCACAUGUUCAUAAGACAUCUAAACAAUUUAAUGUGGAAUACACAUGCAAAGCACAUCUGGUUAGAUGACGAAAAAAAAAUACAGAUCAAAUAUUGUCUAUAAGGUAAUAUUAGUGGGAUAAAAGGUUUGCAUUAAUAAGAGAUAUAUAUGACGAUCCACAAUGAACAUUCACAAAAGAAUCUGCAAUAUUAUUUUUUGCUAAAUUUAUUAUUCAAAUCUUCGCUUAAAUAAACAAUACUAUUUACUAUAACAUAUAUUUUUGAAAUUGUUAUUCACGUGCAACGCACGUGUCAAAAAACUAGUAUAUAUAUAUAUGCUAUUGUGAUAAUAUUUAACAUCAGAGAAAAUCAGGAACACAUUUUCCUUCGUACCAAAUACACAACCUUAAAUAUGGAACAUAUAUAUUUUUCCCCAUGAAGAUAAAAUAGUUGAUGAAUUCAUUAAUCAAACUCAAACCAAUUGAUUAAUAAAAGCCUGUUUUUAUGGAAGAUACCAAGAGAACAUCAUUAGGUUCUGUUUUGAAGGUUGCCUUGAAGAUCAUGGCUGCCUUUAAAAUGAUAAGAGUGGACCAAAACCCUUCCCACUGAUAAAGUUGAUCAAUGUUAUUCCACGAAUGAUCAGUUUUGGGCAGUUUCUCUAUAAUUCUCUCUAUUUCUUCAUUAUUCACAAUUGCUGAUGAUUUUUUCUCACUCAUUUUAGGAAUAUAUGGAAUUAAUAAAAAUAGUGGUAGUUCAUAUAGUUUAAUUACCCAAAUGAUAUGUGUGUCUAUAUAUAGAGGAAGGAAGAGUCGUUUUAAAAAAUAUUUACAUAAUCAAAUUACUUAACGUAAUUAAUGCGAUGCAAUGAGAGAUCUAUAACAUCUUGCAUUUGGUGAUUCUAGCAUACUCUAUAAUUUAUAGGAUAGCCAAAAAGAUCAUAUAGUAUAAAUUUCUUCUUGGACUUUUUAAAGAAAGAUUUGAAAAAAAAUUCCAUCACGAGUUAAUUUAUGAUUUAAUUAGCAAUGAAAAAUCAAUUGAAUGUAAAGUCAUCCUAAUUGAUGUCCAUUCGUAGCUCUAUUAGAUAGGCAUAACCCAAUCUAUGUAUUAAUAAUGAAAUUUUGCUGUUGGAUGAUGAUACUAUUAUCCGCACAUGGCGUGAGUUUGAAGUAAUUAAGAGCAAUAAAUUGUCUCCAUUUCAAAGCUCAUAGACAUUUGGCAUUUACAGCUGAUUUUGCAGGGCAGGUAUAUAUAUAUUAUUUUUUCGAUUUUCAAUAGAAGAAUUUUCUUCGAGAAGUCUCUUAUCUCUAUUGACUAUUUUACACCGUCAAGACUUACUAACAUUGCAAAACGUAAAAGGAGGUUUCUGAAAUUUCCUUAACUUCACAUUUAUUUAGAAUGCAUUCACGUUAAAUUUAAUAAGUAUGACGAUAUGAGUAAAAGAAAAUUUGUCAAAUUCAAUUUGAUGGUAUAUCAUAUUUUUGUAAAUUAAAUUAAGUUUAUUUUGUAUAUCUCUUUGAAGAAGAAAAAAAGAAAAGACAAGAAAUGAAUCCACCCAUGACAUACAUACUUGGUAGAAAAUAAUUAGAGUCUAAAUUGCCUUAUAAUACUAUUUUCUUAUCCAUAUUUAAAUAUUAAAAAUAAAAAUAAUUAAGAAUCUUACCUGCUAUAAGCAUUAAAAAUUCGAGACGGUGACUAGUGGAUAUUAAUUAAUAUCUUCGAAUUAACUAAAGUCAUUAGCAUUGUCUGCCUAUUUCAUUUUAACACAUCAACAAAUUCAUUUUUUCUAAAAUACACUUUAAAUUUAAUAUUUUUAAUUUCAAAAAUAUUAUGCCGCUUUAAAAACCACCUUAUCUAAUCACUUAUUAAAAUAAAAGGUUUCGCAUAAUACAUAAAUAAGAUCGAAGAAGUAUAAUGACAUAAAACUCACUCCAUAAUAUAUUAAAAUUUCAUGCGUGCAUAACAACAUUACAAAAGAUAAACUUUUGUAGGUGUCAACAAUUAAUAGAUAUUUCUAGACUCAUACUUCAUAAAAGAGAUGCAAAAGACAUGGAAGAUAGACGCUUACACAUUUAAGUUUUAUUAUUUUCAACAACCCUAACUUAUUACUCAUUCGGAUGAAGUAAUAGAAAAGCUUAUUAAAGUAGUAGUUACAAUAGAGAAGUAAUGAAAACACUCCUAAAUUUGACGACAUGAAUUAUUAGUUUCGUCCCUGAAUUAUUAACAGCUUUAUACCCAUCUAUUUGAUUAACUGAACUUAAAUACACUUCUGAUCUUGCCACAUGGGUGAAAAACACCAAGAAUUUAGGAGUGUUUCAACACUUCUCUCGGCUUUUUAUUAAGAGUCCCACGCUAGUACAAGAGUUUGAGACCACUUGCUAUGCUAUGUGGCAAAUUGGGGUGUAUUUAAGUUGAGUUAGCCAAAUAGAUGGAUAUUUUUAAGACUGUCAAUAAUUCAAGAGUGAAACUAGUAAUGCAUGUCAAGUAGUUCAGAUGUGUUUCCAAUUAUACUUCUUUGUUUAUAAUUAUCAAAGUUCAAGGCCACUUCCUUGAAGCUUCAACUUGGUAAUCUUGUCAAGUUGCUCUUCCAUUUCAGGUGUCAUGUGAUUCUUCCAAUCCCCAACAACUCCUUUUCUGAAAAAUGCACUAUUGUGG